UGAGGAAUAUUGGACAAUGGGCGCAAGCCUGAUCCAGCAAUGCCGCGUGCAGGAUGAAGGCCUUCGGGUUGUAAACUGCUUUUGUACGGAGCGAAAAGGUCUGCCCUAAUACGGUGGGCUCAUGACGGUACCGUAAGAAUAAGCACCGGCUAACUACGUGCCAGCAGCCGCGGUAAUACGUAGGGUGCGAGCGUUAAUCGGAAUUACUGGGCGUAAAGCGUGCGCAGGCGGUUAUAUAAGACAGAUGUGAAAUCCCCGGGCUCAACCUGGGACCUGCAUUUGUGACUGUAUAGCUAGAGUACGGUAGAGGGGGAUGGAAUUCCGCGUGUAGCAGUGAAAUGCGUAGAUAUGCGGAGGAACACCGAUGGCGAGGGCAAUCCCCGGACCUGUACUGACGCUCAUGCACGAAAGCGUGGGGAGCAAACA
rnacentral:rRNA from 1 species